CAUGACACCUGUCGCGCCUAUAUCCGUCUACGUCACGUUCUCAUUAAAUUUCAAACAGGAAGAAGCGUCAAGGAGACUGAAGUGAAGAAGUUUGUGUUGUUUUUAAUCGGUAAAAGAAGGAAAUAUUGUUUUGCGAUCGCCAGAAAGAAGAAUAAGUUGUUGUUGUUUUCUGUAUUUGCCAGUUGCCCAGAAGAGGAAUAAGUUAUCUGCCAUGGCUUAUCCUACAGUCCAAACCUGAUCCAGAACAGUUCUGCCAUGAUGGGGGGAUUUGAAUGUUCUCUCUUACACUUCACCUAGAGAACCACAUAAGUCAUACAGUGGAGCAUGGAGGUUACUUCAUCUUAAAAUGAAUGGCCCAUGGAAGAUCAAUAAAACCAAGGUUGUCAGAGUCCACCAUCACAAACAGCCAGCAAGUACGGAAACUGUGAUGGGUCAAGAUGACAGUGAUAAGAAGAUCGAAGUGGAACUGAAGAGGAAGUUCGGAGAGGAACAUAAGGGACAUUGGUGUAGCAUGGUGCUGGGUUCAGAGCCACUGUGAGCUGUUCCAUGGAGAGGUGACAGAGCCUGAAUUUCUCCAGAUGGACGAAGAAAAACAGUCUAAUAUAAUCAAAGACUACCUGAAAGGAGAGACUGAGAAAGCAAGGGAUGCCUGUGUGUUUGUCUUUGACAAUCACGAGGAAAUGGAAACAUUCUUAUUAAAAUGUGUUGAUGAACAGGGGCUGAAAUUCAAUACCAUGUUUCUGGGAGUCAUUUAAUUUAUAAUCAUUUAUUUACUCUACAUUGUUGAAUAUUAUUGUUUUGUGAAAUAAAUAUAACAAU